rnacentral:rRNA from 1 species
AUUGAACGCUGGCGGCAUGCCUAACACAUGCAAGUCGAACGGCAGCACGGCAGUAGCAAUACUGUGGGUGGCGAGUGGCGGACGGGUGAGGAAUACGUCGGAAUCUGCCCAGUCGUGGGGGAUAACUAGCCGAAAGGUUAGCUAAUACCCCAUACGACCGAGAGGUGAAAGCGGGGGACCGCAAGGCCUCGCGCGAUUGGAUGAGCCGACGUCGGAUUAGCUAGUUGGUGGGGUAAAGGCCCACCAAGGCGACGAUCCGUAGCUGGUCUGAGAGGAUGAUCAGCCACACUGGAACUGAGACACGGUCCAGACUCCUACGGGAGGCAGCAGUGGGGAAUAUUGGACAAUGGGCGCAAGCCUGAUCCAGCAAUGCCGCGUGUGUGAAGAAGGCCUUCGGGUUGUAAAGCACUUUUAUCAGGAACGAAAAGCGUUGGAUUAAUACUCUGACGUGCUGACGGUACCUGAGGAAUAAGCACCGGCUAACUUCGUG